rnacentral:rRNA from 1 species
GAUGAACGCUGGCGGCGUGCCUAAUACAUGCAAGUCGAGCGAACAGACGAGGAGCUUGCUCCUCUGACGUUAGCGGCGGACGGGUGAAUAACACGUGGAUAACCUACCUAUAAGACUGGGAUAACUUCGGGAAACCGGAGCUAAUACCGGAUAAUAUAUUGAACCGCAUGGUUCAAUAGUGAAAGACGGUUUUGCUGUCACUUAUAGAUGGAUCCGCGCCGCAUUAGCUAGUUGGUAAGGUAACGGCUUACCAAGGCGACGAUGCGUAGCCGACCUGAGAGGGGGACCGGCCCCAGUGGAACUGAGCACCGGUCCAGACCCCUAGGGGGGGCAGAAGUAGGGAAUCUUCCGAAAGGGGCGAAAGCCUGACGGAGCACGCCCGGGUGAGUGAUGAAGGCUUUCGGAUCGUAAACCUCUGUUAUUGGGGAAGAACAAAUGUGUAAGUAACUAUGCCCGUCUUGACGGUACCAAAUAAAAAAGCCCCGGCUAACUCAGU